GACGAACGCUGGCGGCGUGCUUAACACAUGCAAGUCGAGCGGUAAGGCUCCUUCGGGAGUACACGAGCGGCGAACGGGUGAGUAACACGUGAGUAAUCUGCCCUUCACUUCGGGAUAACCACCGGAAACGGUGGCUAAUACCGAAUACGACCAGUCUUCGCAUGAGGUGCUGGUGGAAAGUCUUUUCGGUGAAGGAUGUGCUCGCGGCCUAUCAGCUUGUUGGUGGGGUAUUGGCCUACCAAGGCUUCGACGGGUAGCCGGCCUGAGAGGGUGACCGGCCACACUGGGACUGAGACACGGCCCAGACUCCUACGGGAGGCAGCAGUGGGGAAUAUUGGACAAUGGGCGAAAGCCUGAUCCAGCAACGCCGCGUGAGGGAUGACGGCCUUCGGGUUGUAAACCUCUUUCAGUACCGACGAAGCGCCCUGUCGGGUGGUGACGGUAGGUACAGAAGAAGGACCGGCCAACUACGUG
rnacentral:rRNA from 1 species